ACUUUAUAUAUUAGUUUAAUUUAAUUAAAUUUUAAAAAUUUGGUUUGAUGUUAUAUUUUAUUGGGGCGAUAAAGGUAUAAAUAAUAUUAACUGCUUAUGAAAAAAACAAUGAUAUUUGAAUAUUAGUUAGGUGAUCCUUUAUAGAGAGUAAAAGACUAAGUU
rnacentral:rRNA from 1 species